CCGGCUAACUACGUGCCAGCAGCCGCGGUAAUACGUAGGGCGCAAGCGUUAUCCGGAAUUAUUGGGCGUAAAGAGCUCGUAGGCGGUUUGUCGCGUCUGCUGUGAAAACCCGAGGCUCAACCUCGGGCCUGCAGUGGGUACGGGCAGACUAGAGUGCGGUAGGGGAGAUUGGAAUUCCUGGUGUAGCGGUGGAAUGCGCAGAUAUCAGGAGGAACACCGAUGGCGAAGGCAGAUCUCUGGGCCGUAACUGACGCUGAGGAGCGAAAGGGUGGGGAGCAAACAGGCUUAGAUACCCUGGUAGUCCACCCCGUAAACGUUGGGAACUAGUUGUGGGGUCCAUUCCACGGAUUCCGUGACGCAGCUAACGCAUUAAGUUCCCCGCCUGGGGAGUACGGCCGCAAGGCUAAAACUCAAAGGAAUUGACGGGGACCCGCACAAGCGGCGGAGCAUGCGGAUUAAUUCGAUGCAACGCGAAGAACCUUACCAAGGCUUGACAUAUACGAGAACGGGCCAGAAAUGGUCAACUCUUUGGACACUCGUAAACAGGUGGUGCAUGGUUGUCGUCAGCUCGUGUCGUGAGAUGUUGGGUUAAGUCCCGCAACGAGCGCAACCCUCGUUCUAUGUUGCCAGCACGUAAUGGUGGGAACUCAUGGGAUACUGCCGGGGUCAACUCGGAGGAAGGUGGGGAUGACGUCAAAUCAUCAUGCCCCUUAUGUCUUGGGCUUCACGCAUGCUACAAUGGCCGGUACAAAGGGCUGCAAUACCGCAAGGUGGAGCGAAUCCCAAAAAGCCGGUCCCAGUUCGGAUUGAGGUCUGCAACUCGACCUCAUGAAGUCGGAGUCGCUAGUAAUCGCAGAUCAGCAACGCUGCGGUGAAUACGUUCCCGGGUCUUGUACACACCGCCCGUCAAGUCAUGAAAGUCGGUAACACCUGAAGCCGGUGGCCCAACCCUUGUGGAGGGAGCCGUCGAAG
rnacentral:rRNA from 1 species